UACUGACUUUUCUAAAACAUUGAAAAUAAACCCGUAAGCAACUACAGGGGGGAAAAUUGUGUUGCAAAUAACUUGGAUAAGAUCUGGAACAAAAUAAUGACAAAAUGUGUGAAGCACAUGCACAAGACCAUAGCCUUUACCUGCGGAGAAAAAGGCUGACUUCAUGAGACAGAGGACGCCACUGUUCACAGGCCAACGACAACUCUGCAGUUCUCUCCAUUUUGGACAUGACACCACGAUCCAUCACAUCUCUACACAAUCUUCUAAUAUGUUUGUAUACCUUUGGAUCGUUCGCUAAAUGGUUUUCCUUUAAAGACGCCACUGAGAUUGACGACCUUGGGAAGGGCCAGCUGCCUCCUUCACUUGGACACUUCCUGCACAUGCUGCCAACCAGCUCACUGUCCCCUGUGCGAGAUGCUGACCUACCACAGCUGCGGCUUUUUGUGUUGCCAUGGAGUCUGCCCUGGCAUUGCUGACAUUGAGUCGUCAUCUAUGAGUAAGAUGCAUCUGCUGUGAGAAAACCUACAUGAAACAAGCACAGCUGCUGUGGGAUCCUGGAAACUGAAAAUCAGAGCAAUCUGUGUCCACUGUGACCCUGACCAGGUCUGUGACCAGCAGGGGGCGCUGGGGGACUGCACCUGGGACCCUGCACAGCUCUCCAGGGAGGACCCUUUUCUCCCAGGAGCUGGGCCUGGGGGCGGGGCCUGUGCGACCUGGUGGGGACUCAGCAGAGGGUCCAUCAACACAUGAAUGGAUUAAGAAGAGGUGGUCCAUACACACAAUGGAAUCCUACCCAGCCAUAAAAAAGGACGAAAUAGUGCCAUUUGCAGCAACAUGGAUGCACAUCUACUUAGAGAGUCUCAUCCUAAGUGAAGUAAGUCAGAAAGAGAAGGACAGAGACCAUGUGAAAUCACCAAUACGAGGAUGAGGACUCUAAAAUAUGGCACAGAUGAACCAAUCUACAGAACAGAAAGAGCCUGGCUGACAUGGACAGUAGACUUGUGGUUGCCAAGGGGGAUGGGGCGGGAGGGGGAGGGACUAGGAGUUUGGGGUUCAGAGAUGCAAACUUCUGUACCAAGAAUGGAAGGCAAAGUGUUCCUGCUGUAGAGCACAAGGGACUAUAACCAAACACUUGUGAUAGAACAUGAUGAAAGAUAAUAUAAGAAAGAUUGUAUAUAUGUGUAUGACAGGGCCACGUUGCUAUACAGCAGAAACUGAGUGAACAAUGUAAAUUGACUAUAAAAUUUUCUUUAAAUAAAUAAAUGUAGGAGUUCCUGUCAUGGCUCAGUGGUUCACAAAUACAACUAGGAACCAUGAGGUUGCGGGUUUGAUCCCUGGCCUCGCUCAGUGGGCUAAGGAUCCGGCGUUGCUGUGAGCUGUGGUGCGGCCCCAGAAAAGACAAAAAAAAAAAGACCAAAAAAAUAAAAUAAAUAAAUAAAUGAAUAAAUGUAAAAUGAAUACAAUAAUACCAUCCAUAUUAAAUAAUAGCAAUGUAAAAGGUACAGAAUAUAAAUGUAAUAAGAUAUUAAGAUAAAAAUAUAAAUAAAAUAUAAACAAAAAACCCAAAUUAUAAUAAAAAUAAACUAGAUAAAAAAUUAAAUUAAAAAAAUUAAACUAUCCCUGCCUGUGACCAUCACCAGCUCGGCUUUGGCCUCUGCUGCCACUUGCACUCUUGGUUCCAGACAGUGUUACACGCUCCCCUCCUGGGCCAUCUUUAUGGGGUCAAUGAACACGUCUCCUUUCCUGACUGGUCUCCCGGGGCAGACGGAAUCCCUCUGUGCCCAGGUACAAACCAGCCCUCGCAGGUCCUGGCUACGAUGACAAUGAAGCCGAGGUCCAGCCUCUGUGCCCUGGGAGACCCGGGGGCCUCUGACACCCCCUACACGUCCUGCUCCUGGUACCGGCGUUCUGCUCCUGCCCUGGUCCCUGACCCUCAGGGAAGCUGGGUCCUCCCUUCGUCUGGAGCUUUCACUCUGAGGGGCUCCUCACCUCCAGGUGCUGGGGGACCCUCCCCAGUCAGGACCAGGCUCUCAGACCCGUCACUCGCUCAUGUUCUGCACUUUCACCCCCACAUCCCUCCCACGCUUCCCUCCCUGCUUCUUGCUUUGGGCUGAUGUUGACUAAAUAUCAGUAUUUUAGAUGCAGACUUUAUGACCCCUCCCCCACUAAAGCCAUGGGGUCUACAUCCUGGACAUAAUCAGAUUUCCACUAAAGAUAAGGAAACACUCAUCAGAGUGUCUCAGUCCAGCCAUGAAGGAGGAAGCCCUAAAAUGAUGAUAUUCCAUUGAGAGUAAGGAAUGCCUUCUAUCAAAUAUUUUACCGGGAAAGAUUUUAAAACUGCACUAAAAUAUCUUUCAAUAUAUCGGGGUCACAAAUCAGUACAAUCAGGACUCGAUUCAAGGGUAAAUGCAAACCCAGGGAAGGAAUCAAGAAAAAGGCAGGUCACCUUCUGAGGCAGAGAUGGAAAUAAGAACAGAGAUGGGCAGUAAGCGCAGGGAAGCUCCCAGGAGACCCUCACACACACCGCGGCCACCACGUGUCCACCUGGGAGGGUCACUGGGAGAGAGUCAGGACCAGGAAGGACCCAACCGGGAAUCUGGGAACUGAAAGCCUGGAAUGCGGUUUAAGUCGGCUAAGUCCUGGUAAUAACCCCAGGAGCAAGGCAGGAGCAAACUCAGAAUUCAGGACAUCCUGAAACACCCAGCUUAUCCACAUUCCACACACCUGUAGGAAGUCAUAAGGGACCUGGAAAAGGAAUGUUUCUGCCCAAAGUACAUGGAGGGGCUGCAUUCCACUGCCCUGGGCAGUGACAUCACAAAGAUCCACUGGCAAUGCCACAAAGCCCUUCCAGGAGGCUGGGGCUGUGCAGUGGAGAGGAUGUGGGUCUGAGCCCAGCAGGGGGCGCUGGGGGACUGUCCUGAGAGCUCAGGGUCCUGGGCCAGGCAGCCUGGGGACACAUUCCAGGCUUGGCUGCCAUAGGCAGCCCCGUCUUCACUCAAGUGUGACUGUCCUACGCCUGGGUCCCUCAGCUCUGAGGAACACACGUGCCUCUGACGUCCUCCUCCACUGUCACAGAGUCACUGCCCAGCCCUGCUGUUCAGGCAACAUCAGGGGGACAAUCACACAACAAAACGAAUGUCCUUGAGGAUGGUGACCUGCAUGCUACCUGGACAGAGGAUGAGGGACCCCGGGGACAGACUUGUCUCCACACCAACCCCUGGGCCUCACAAGCAGGCUCUGGGCUCCCCACCAGGACCUGGAUUCCUCCUUCACCCCCUCACUCACUGAACCUGGGUGUCCUGUGGGGGAGGUGACAGGGUGUGGGUCUGGGGGCAUUUGCACUGCCUGCUGCUCCUGUCAUCGGGGCACAGCGGUGGGGCAUCCUGUCUUUCUGCCACCUUCUCACCCUCUUUCCACGGGUAGGGGUCACAUGCUCAUGGCUCUACCACCCACAGUGUAUAGGUUUUUCUUUUUAAACUAUUUAAAAUACAUCUUGAAUGAAGGCCUUGUAGCCUAUACCGAUUUCUCAUUCUAGCAAAUCAACGGACCCCAGCCCAACCAGGACAGCAUCCGAUCAGAAAGUACCAGGACAAUCUCCUUUUGGAUCGGAGCUGGUAGUUGCACCAAGAACUCAACCUAUGAGCCACUAGAAUCCAUGUUCUAUCAGGAAAGACACCCCUGAUCCCCCCACGUCGUCAUUGGCUGAGACUCGGGUGUGUGUGCAGGCCCUGGUGCUGACAGUGGAGUCUGGGGGAAGCGGGGUGAGGAGGCCAGGGUCUCCCCGCAUCAGCUGCUCUCAGAGACAGAAACUCAGCCCAGAGGAAGCUGCUCCCUGAAUCAGGCAGCGCCACUCAGGACCCGCAGGGGUGCUGCUCUGGCACCACCUCCAGCCUCUCCCCACCUCCAUCCACACCGGGUCCUCAUCUCCCGGCCCAGCCCCGUGGGAGGCAUUAGUGUGACCCUGGUGCCUGCAGAAGGCCUGCGACAGUCUGUGUGGCUGCAAACCUGGGGAUCCGCGCUGAUGACAUGCCCCCCAGUGUGUUCGAGGGGCGGGAGAUCUUUGUCCUCUGUCCUGCAGCUUCUCUCCUACUCGUCCGGCAGUUCUCGUUUAUGCCCACGUUUUAUACAGACUUAUGGCAACUGACACUGUUUGUGUUUUCAGAUUUUUAAUUCUUUUUAUGUGUUAACACACCUUCUCAUAAAAGAAGGGAUGCAAUGAAAUGAUAUUCUUCCCGACAAUUUAAGAAAUACACAUGUAUAAUAGGAACAUGUAUAAUAGGAAAAUGAUUUCAUGCGAAUGGGUUUUUUUGGAUAUGAGUUGAGGCUCAGACACCUGUGUAGAGAAAACCAUUCUAUGAGGUGUUUCCUUGUUGGUUGGUUUGUUUGGUUGAUUUAGGGCCGCACCUGCGCAUAUGGAAGUUCCCAGGCUAGGGGUUGAUCCCUGCUCCAGCUGCCAGCCUGCACCCCAGCCACAGCAACGUGGGAUCCUUAACCCAAUGAAAGCGGCCAGGGAUCAAACCUCCAUCCUCACGGAUCCUAGUCUGGCUCGUUAACCGGUGAGCCACAAAUGGAACUCCAUUUCUAUGAAUUUGAAAACACCUAAUUUACCAGCAAAUAUAACAUGGAAACAAAAAUGCAAUUUCAUUUGACCCUGAGAUGAGCAGCAGUUUUGUUCCUCAGCUUCCCCAGUUACUGGAGACAUUCUUUCCUCCUACUCGUCCUCCUAUCUCCCCAAACCCCUAAUCCACCUUCAAAUUCUGUCUGCUCCACAGAACACAGUAAAUGGAAUGGGACUUUUCAAUAUUCCAUGACAUUCACACCAAA
rnacentral:lncRNA from 1 species